GAUGAAGAACGCAGCGAAAUGCGAUAAGUAAUGUGAAUUGCAGAAUUCAAUGAAUCAUCGAAUCUUUGAACGCACAUUGCGCCCCCUGGUAUUCCGGGGGGCAUGCCUGUCCGAGCGUCAUUACAACCCUCAAGCUCAGCUUGGUGUUGGGCCCCGCCGCCCCGGCGGGCCCUAAAGUCAGUGGCGGUGCCGUCCGGCUCCGAGCGUAGUAAUUCUUCUCGCUCUGGAGGUCCGGUCGUGUGCUCGCCAGCAACCCCCAAUUUUUUUCAGGUUGACCUCGGAUCAGGUAGGGAUACCCGCUGAACUUAAGCAUAUCAAUAAGCGGAGGA
rnacentral:misc_RNA from 1 species